UAGAUCUUUAAUAUAUUCUGAGA
rnacentral:snRNA from 1 species